rnacentral:ncRNA from 1 species
ACGCCGUCUCGCAGCGGCGUGUUUCGGCCUCCGAGGGCCGUAACGGGGGUGGUGCCGUGUCGGCGCAGCACCACCCCCGUUCA